GACGUCGAUAUUCGACGUCAUAAACAGUAUCAAGUUUGGUGUUUAUGACGUCGAUUUACGACGUCAUGAACACCAUCAAGUUUGGUGUUUAUGACGUCGAUCUACGACGUCAUAAACACCAUUAAGUUUGGUGUUUAUGACGUCGACAUACGACGUCAUAAACACCGUCAAGUUUGGUGUUUAUGACGUCGAUAGUCGACGUC
rnacentral:miRNA from 1 species